AGUAAACAUGUGUUAAGUGAAUAAUCUGUGAUUGACAUAGAAAAACACGCUAUUUCCUUUUUUUACAUUUUCUUUUCUCACUUCUAAAUCUUCUAUGAUGACACUUAGGACAGGAUUUCAAAUUUGUGUGCAGGAAAUGUUUUUAGGAUAGAUGUAUAGGCCAGUAGAAAUGCAGUCUUUCUAAAUGAUCAGUAUUUGAGAAAUUGAAGUUAGUUUGAUUUUGAUUUGAUAUUUUCUACUAUCAAGUUUUAUAAACACAGAUGUAAAUCAUGGUUCAUCGGGUUUAUUAACAAUUUAUCCACUUACAAAGGUGCUCGAAACGGUUUGCUGUCUCCCCGAUUUGUUUCUGCACAAGAGGCUGCCUAGGGGUGGGUUUCUCUAUUAGUGUCUUUAAGCAUCUUCUGGUCGCGAGUAACCGAGUAACGUAACUGACUGACUGCGCCCUAAGCAAAGGUGGGAGGGAGACCUGUCGGACAAUCCAGGAGGCAGAGUGGCCCUGAGGACAGGCCAGCGAUGUGUGCUUCCCAGAUGUGACCUGGAAACAGUCCUGCACAGGUGGGGACAUGUGCGUGGCCCAACCUGUGGCCAAGGGGCAGGUGGCUUGCUAGAUGCGGAGCCGCAAGUCUGGCUUGGACACAGGUACUGUGUUUGGAGCAACUGUUCCAUUUUAAAAAUCCUUCUUAACCCUGAUGGAUGCCAUGCUGAAAACGAGGAAUCACACCGCCACCAUGGCAAGCAGGCUGGAUUCGGCUUCAUUCCUUCCACAUUACUUGGGUUGUGCUCAAAGGUGGAAGUUAACUCUUACAUUUCAAGGAGUAGAACGUGGCCAGCAGUGAAGUACUCUCAGGGCGCAAAGAUCUGUCAGAAAAGGUCAGGUAGGCCAAGGCAGUGACCCACAAGGAUGGACCUCCCUGGAGCCCUUCACGGUCAUCAUUCAGUGCCAACGGCUAGUGAGCAGUUCACUUUGCCAAUUUUGAAACCUUCCUCCUGGACUUAAGAACCUUAACCGAAGGGGAGACUGACGGAGCCGCGGAGGGAAGGGUAAGAACAGAACGGGAGAGGACAAUUCUGAGAACAGUUUGCAGCGCGUAUUCGUGUCACUCUGUAUUUAAGAGUCACCCGAACAUUCAGUGCCCAGUGAGCACAUUCUUAGCACCUGUUAACCUGCGACAGGACGGGCCGGUGUGGUGCAAAUCGUGGAGGCUACGGUUCCUGCCACGGAGUUUGCACCAGCGACACCGACUUUUCGAAAACUACAAGACAACACAGGACAGCAAAUUGGAUCGUACCGGCAAAACCUCUCUGCGGCAGGAUCACUGUGGUGACCGGGGCCAGCGUCUUCCGGAAGUGAAAUACAUGGACGGAUUUGCUAAUUUCAUUUCUUCUUUUACUCCUACAAGGCUACUUCAGAAUAUGACUCUUAGAACAGUUUUAUUCAUAUUUGUUUAACGUCUGGCAUAAGGAAGAAGCCAACUAAUGACAUGUCCGGCCUCACAGGGAAGGCGGGACACUGUGGUGUGCAUGUGAUGGCAGACUGUUGGUCACCUAAAGCCUCGUGCCGCCUUGACAGCAGGGCAGCUGGGGAUUCUGACAGCUGGGGAGGCCAGGCCGGUGUUCCUCAAGUGCAGAGACACAGAAGGUCAGCCCCGGCAGUAAAGACCAUAAACUCAGACAGACAACAAGAGAAUGGGUCUACGGAAGCCGUGAAGGAGUGUCGGUCAAUACGCUGGACCACGGCUCAAACACGACAAAGACCGGAUAUAUUUCAUAUGCGGGAGGGAAGAUGUUUGAAAUACGUACCCAAGAGCAAACACAAGAGAUUCCCCAAAGCAAAGCAAAUCAGUCAGAAUAGGAGGCAGCUACUGAAGAGGCCACCAAGGCCACCAAGGCCGGGCCGCUCACAGUGCCCGCCGCAGGCCCUGUGGGAGUGGAGGGACAGGCAGGCACCCCGAUCCCGUUGCUACACAUCUUUCCUGGAACUUUCUUCUGGAGUCAGCAACACAGUGACUUUCUCUUCCGUUGGAACCGCUAAGGGGUGAGAAUUGGACAUGAGGCUUUUCGGGGUUGCCUUGCCCCCCAGGUGGAGAGGGUCUGCCUGGAAAAUGGAGACAAGUGUAGGCCCUGCUGGCGUCAUUUGAACGCCUGGAAUGGCCACUUACGUGAGUCAAGACACUCUUGUUCUCUAGCUGGUCCCAGCCGGGCUUGCGCACUGACCACACCCACCGCCGCCUGUGCUGCUGCCCCGCUGCCCUCCCGGUGCCACAGCGGUGCCUGUCUUCACAGAGCUCCGUCCAGGGCAUUACACUCACGCCUCUGCUGGCCUCGAAACCACAAAUUUCCCACUCCUCCCAUCAAAGGGGGGGCCUGGUUCCCCUCCCCCAGCCUCUGGAUGAAGCUUCCAGCCUGUGCUCAGAAGGAGACCAUGACCCGGAGGCGCAGAGACUACCCUGGUGAGGGCGGUCAGCACAGCACAGCCCCGGCCACCCCGGUCCACGGAGGGGCACCCUGGGACACAGCCACCCACCAAGGCCAGACAGGUGUUCCUGCCACAACUUCAGCGGGGUCCCCUGGGCAGCCGGAGCCCUCCCCCAGACACAUGAGCAGACCCACAGGUGGUUCCAGCCCCGGUGACACUGAGUACACAGCCCUGCCCGAAUCCCAGAUGCCCCGGAAAGUUAACUUGGGUGUUUUGUGACACAGCAGUAAGUAGCCUGUGCAAAGAUAGGGUCUGGCUUUGUCCUAUAUGUAAAUGGCGUCGUAUUCUCUGUGUGGAUCUUACACUAACUGCUUUCCUAGAUAACACUGUCCUGGAGAUCUUUGCAUGUCGAUACAUAAAGAUGAAUUAACAUAUAAUUAACUGCUGCAAAUAAUUUUGUCCUAAUUGGUGUAAACAAGCACUCCUUUGUUGAUUAACGUGCCGAUUGCUUCAACUUGUUCCUUACCGCAAACCAUCUGAUAUGCGUGUCUCUGCGUCGGUCUCGCCACACGCGUGGGACUAUUUCUCUAUGAUGCACAGAAAUGAAAUUGUAAUAGAGAAACCUCACGUGUUUAUCUUUCUGCCAAAUUGCCCCAAAAGCCGUGCCCCUUCAUACUUUACCAGCAAUAUAUGAGAAUACUUCUCUUGCUUAUCUUUGUCAUCACUGGAUAUUAACACAAUUAAUUUUUUCCUAUCUUGGGAAAAGAUACAAUUAUACAGUUAUUAUAUGUGAUGUUCUAUAUUAACUACUUAAUAUUACAUAUUUUAUACAUAUUACAUCACCUAUAUUGUACAUUUUAUAUAUGAAUAUUUGUAUUUAAAUAUACUUUGCACUUCCCAUGUUUGUAGUGAUUGUCUGCAGGUGUGUACUGGCCGUCCGUAUUUAUUCUAAAGCAUUAAUUGUCUUAUUGCUUUGUUACAGGCAAAUAUUUCUUCCCAGCCUGUUGUGGUUACCUUUGUUUAAGACAUCUUCUGUCAUAAAGAAGCUUUAAAUUUUGA